UGAAGAGCUGAAGGAUUUGGAGAAGCUCCUUCUUUUUCCACUCCCUCACCUCUCUCCUCCCCCAGUUACUCAUGCAAUGGCAGCAACAGUUUGGCUGGAAUGCAGAGUGGAUGUGGAAGAUGUGAAUAUGCUUCUGGAAUUCCAGAGGAGGAGCUGAGCCAAUAAUAUGUCCAACUAUAAUGCAGAACUGUUGUAAUUACUUAGGAACAGUGGGAAUGAUAGCAGAGUAUUGUCAGUAAUCGCACGUCAAAUUCUGCCAUUCCCUAAAAUAGGACAACCACAGAGCAACUCUGCUGGGACCCAUAGGGCUGUGUUGGCUCGGAGGUGGUUGGGAAAGAAGAGAAGGGGCUGAUCUUGGAGUUACCCAAAAGCAGUGGCAAACCAAAGGCAAGGAAACUGCAACUUGAAGAGUCAGACAUCAGAGGACGAAGUUGCCGCAUGUAUCCCAGCACUGCUAAACUUGUGGCUUAGAAACAAGGAUGGAAAUAUUUCUGGACGACACUCAUUUCCCAAUGCUCCGUAGAGACCGCAGAACCUUGCAAAACAGUUCGCAUUCGUCAAUGUUUUAUUCCUAUGACUAAAACCCCGUGGGAUUUAAGUGUGCUUCUCCGUGUUGUCUGGCAAGGAAUUGGGUAAUGAAUGACCACGUUAGGAACCACUUGGCCAGAAAACAGAUGAGAACAACAUUGGUGAGCACUGUCUGAUCAUGAGGAGUGAGAUGAAGGAGGGAGAGAGAUGGAACACCGAUGGUUCAUUGCAGACUUACUUGGGAAACUCUGCAAAGAUGGCACUUUGUGCAUCUUUCUCCUUCACCCAUUUUAUUUCAUUUCUGGGCUGUCAUUUCAGCAACAUCUUUAACAAAUGAAAACCCUCUGCGCAGUCAAUAGUAAUUACAGGAAUUUAUCACAAUUGCCAAUCAAGGUGUGUUGGAAAGACUCAUCUUUCUCGUUUAAAUUAGCCUUCGCUGCGCACAGGCCACAAGUUAUCUUUAGGAAAUCAAUUGUGGGAAAAUUACAGCUUUUGUGGUGUUCUGUGACCUCAGCAGCCAUCACGCAGCUGAGUUCCCUCCCACCCUCCCCCCCCCAGCUGCUUGUGUGGCCUCGUACAGCUGUUUGCUGGGGGGUUUGGACCUCAGCACAAAGCCUGGAAUUGUUCUUCAUGCAUCUGGAGGCAGUGAGGGUGUCAGAUAAAAUGCUGGCAGGAGUUCUGCCUUCGGCAGUGCUGAUGCAGCUCCCAUUGGAAAUGCAGACCAGGCUGACACAGCUCAGGGCAAAAUUCAGCUGUGCGUGGAGCUGCAAACGCCGUCUCCCGGAUGAUUAAUGCACAUUUGUAAGGAGUUUCUUCUCUGCUGAUAAUGCUGCCAUGAGGAAGGAUCUUCAGCUGCUAUAUAUCAGCCUGAGUUCUGACUGUAGGUGAGUACAGGUUUCCUCCUCCACUCCCACUGCUUCCCCAGAGACAGCGGUGUUUGCAGAGGCUUAAUAAAGCAGGAAAGAGAGCAGGUGUGAAAGGAAACAUCAAUUACCAUUAGCCCUGACAAUCCUGGACGAUCCCACCCAUGGCGAAGGCGCAAUGACAGUCAAUUCUGUGGUUCUUUCUAUGCAGAUAAGUGAAGUGCUUUCCUUUUCUGGUGAGGGUGAGGCUGGUGAGGGCACUGGGAUGGAGGAAGGUGUGGAUUUCUGUUUGUGAGGUCUGUGCUGUUGUUGUAACUGGACUGAGUUCAGACUUCCACAGGCAAUUCCUCCCCUGAAGACUCUGCAACCUGAACACAUGGGAGAACCAAUGGUUCUGCUGCACAGCACUCAUUAGAGAAGGGGAAUUCAUGGCCAGGUAUUCGAAGGUGCCCAGGAAUGGGUCUUCUGCUGGAGCAAACACUAGAGCCACUAGAGCUGAGCUGAGUUCCAAGUGGUUUCCAAAUACAGAGCGGGUUCUCCUGCUCUGAUGAGCUGCUUGCAGUGCUCAGGGCUCUACGUGCUGUCCCCAAAGGGGCGGCCUGAAGCCUCAGCAGCAGUCCUCAGUGCUGCUUCCUAAUUAGCACCCUCUUCCUCUGACUCGGACAUCUGCUUGCACUGAGUUUCACAGGUUCUUCAAUAGCUAAUGGGUGGUAUUUAUUUCCAUUCCUUUGGUGCCUUAAAUAUAACAAUAAUUCAGUGUAUCUCAUUUUGGGGGAAUGAAAGAUCACCCUUAUUUUCAGCUCAUUUUUUGUGUUUUAUUUCUCUCCCUUUUUUUAUUGAGCUCUGAACAUUAAUAAUCAGCCCUCAUUAACUCAGUUAAUUCUUCAAAUCCUCAUAUUCUUCAUGCCCAGCACCAUAAAGCCAAAGAAGGGACUAAUGAAAGCUGAAGAGAUGGUUAGAGUUAUUAAAAAUCAAUUUUUUUUGUAUCUGGUAACCCUGGGGUGUUAAUAUUCUCAUCUCAUGUCUUCUCAGCCUCAUUCCUCCCACAGGAACUCUGGGUUUGCAGAGCGCAGGAGGACCUCAGUGCAGGAUAUUCAGGAGCCCUUUGGUUUUGAGGCCGUCCCAUGAUGUUACAGCACAUCUCCUGGGGGAGUUCUGAGGUCUCUGCAGUGCAGGAAGGAGAGUUUUGCAGUCCUGAAGACGGUCGUGCACUGCUGAGCACUGCAAUCAGCAUUAGAGGAGGGCAGGGUGAGGGUUGUGCAGGCACUGUUCCCUCUUGCGCAGGCAGAGCGCUGCUGGUAAGGGGCUGGGAGCAGCCUGAGCUCUGCCCUUCAGCUCAGAUUAGCGAUAAUGGAAAAUGCAGAACAUUAAACAGCGGCGUGAUUGCAUUGCGGAGGAGGACUGGCAAAUGGGUUCGUCCUGAUGCAAGGGUGUGAAAAAGGGGUCGCCGAGCUGAGUUUACUUCAGGCUUAAGAAGCGAGAGAAAUGUUUUUCAGGUUUUGCAACAAUUCAUUCCUGUCUUGUUUUUGAUCUGACUUCAUUCCCUCAGCGUGCCUCUCCUUUCAGCAGUGUCUUUAAUUCAUGAAUUCAUCUGCACGUCUUGUUUUCCUGAAUUACCCUUCCCAUUUCCUUUACUGGGGUGAAUCCGAAUGUCCCCCUCCAAACCAAAUGCUGCCCAUUGGAACACAGUCCUUGGUGCAGAGAUCCCUGUUGCUGUGGCAGGGCAGGGCUGCUGAGGAGGGAGGGAGGAGAAGGGGAGCAGCAGAGCCAGCAGAGCUGGUGAUGUGCAGCUGCAGAGCUCCCGCUGGGCACUGCCGGGCUGAGACUGGGCACCAUGGCAACCAGGAUGAUGCUCCUUGGAGUCCCUGAUCUGCUAAAUGGGUGGCAAUCUCGUUAUGAAAGGUGGAGAAAGGUGGUUUUUUCCCCAGCAUUUUCCUCCCCCUAAUGUUGACAAUGCACCAAGAGGAACAAAACACGCUUCUGGAGCACUCAGACCCACUGCCGUGGGAUGGGGUGGUGGUGUGGGUGGCCAUGCUGCUGAGCUGUGUUCCCUUCAGAGCAUCACUGCCUCCUGUGCUCACCCAGCGGGCGGCUCUCAGGGGGAUCCCAUUGUGUAUGCUGCCCGGGUUCCUGCGGGAUUCGCUUUUAAAUCUCUUUUUCAAACAGAUAAUUAAAACAUAAUGGUGUUUACAUUACAGAUGGAGCUGAGAGAAAAAUAAUAAUAGUAAUAAUAAUCGUAAUAAACACUACUUUGCCACUCAGGGGAGUUUGUCAAAUGACUCUUACAGAGGCUUGGCGCACUUUAAUGAGUCUAAAGAAGAGGAUUUACGCUGAACUAACUCACUCCAUGGCGCACACGUGGCGGUGGGAUGAGGGAGCUCUCCGCAGUGCUGAACCUGCAGCAGGACGACAUGGAAGAAAAUAAAGGAAACGGUAUUAAAAUCCCAUAAUUUUUACUGCAAUGGAUAUGCAGAAUGAAAUUGCAGCUCUGCAGAGUCCAGAAGCUAUUCUAAAUUAAUGGCUUGGCUUUUCCAGUCCAUUCAAACAAGCUCAUUUCAUGCAAGAUAAAUUACAGGACCUGCCACCCGCGCUCCCCAAAGAGAGCUUUUUGUAAUUCACAAUGUGUGUGUAAGAGAAUGGGCGGCUGUUUUUCUGACAGAUAUCCUGUGGCACAAUGACCCACUCCUGAGGCUGCAGUGUUUGAUUCCCACAGUGGGGCCGGAGCUGUGAGCUGUAGCUGCAGGAGGAGGGGGAAAGGACCAAAGGAAGGACCUGGUUCAAUCAACCCAAACAGCCCAUUUGGGUCUCUAGUAGACAGGAGAUUGACUGCGUGCUUCCCUCACUCUGGAGGCACUGAUGGAUACCCUCUGGAUGCACCCCCUGAGCAUUCCAUCCCCUCCAUCGUUGCACUCCUCUGGUGUGUUUUUGUCACCCAUUUGGGCCACUUAAUUACAUUCCCUUUUCUUUUGGAAAAAGCUGAUGUGUAAUUAUUUCCAUGAUUAACACUCUUGUGCAGCUAAUUGUAAUUACACCUUAUAAUCACAGUUACGAUCGUCAAUUACUCAUCUUUGCCUCAUUUCAGUGUUUUUCUUUAUCUGAGUUUCUGGAAGUUAUCCUCACCCAAUACACACACACAACAAACUGCCUCAGCUUUCCAAACUUCUCUGUCUUCCUCCGGGGGGAUUAAUCUGAGGCCGCAGUAAAGGCCGCAUCAUUGGCUGCUGUAAAUCAUGGCAGCUUCACUCGUGCCAAUGCAACAGUGCUCUGCAGCAGCCAGGAUGUCAGACAUCUCACUAAGAAAGCAAUGCCAUCUGAGAAGAUAUAUCUGCCUCCAAGUCAUUUUUUAUGUAUUUUCCACAUAUUGAGUAAUGCGUAUUUCUCCUUUUUGUAUCUCUAACCCUUUGUAUAUCUUAGGGAACUAAGAGAAAUCAAACCAGCGUGAAUACUUGCCAGCUUGUACAUUAUGCAGUACUUUGAAGCACGUUUCUUCCUACACCUUGAGCAUACACAGGGGACCGAUUUUCCUCCUGCUCAUGCUGAUGUGUGGAGCUGUCAGUGGGAACUGUGUGGCUCCUGGGUUACCCCCCAGUCAGUGCAAACAGCAUCAGUCAUGGGAGGAGUACAUCACUUUUACAGGGAGGACUCCAUGAUAAAUCCAGGCCGCACAGAGGACGUUCAAUAGGCAGAGUCCUUUACUUACAACUUAUGGAACAAUGUGAUAUCCAACUCAGAACACAGUCAGAGUUUUGUUAAGCUUGCUUUCAGCCAUCAGCGGGUGACAACAGAUUUAUUAACUGGAGUGGAUGCCCAGGAGCUCAGAUUCGUGACUUAAUGGAGCUGGACUCUGCUGGGUGCUGUGGAAAUACAAAAUGGGUUCAUAUAGAAGUCUGAUGGAAACUAUCAGUGCUCCAUCCUCGCUGGGCAUGUGCCUCUGUGCAUGGUGCUUCUUCCCAACCAGAGCACAUCAGAGCCAGAGCAGAGCUGCUGUCUUCACAUUUAUCCCCAUUCCCAAAGACUCGGCUGAACAAUCAAGGAGGUGAACUCCCAACCUGGAGAUUACUGCUGCAUUAAUAAAGCAACUGUGAACGAACUGCUUCAGCUGCUUGAGCCAACCAGGAUUAUUAAACGAGCUCCCUGAUUUAAUUAGAGUGCGUAAAACUCAUGCUAAAAACAAAAAUGCAGCUCUCAGCUGGAACGUGAGCUUUGUGCAGGAGGGGUCACUGCGAAGGUCAGCUCUUCCUGCAGUUUAUUCACAGUGAUUGAAUCAAACACUGAGGUGGAAGCAGACAGCCCCAGCAGAGCUGCUGUCCUGCAGCACAGCUCUGGGCACUGCCUGAGGGCAGCAGGCACUGCGGCUUUGUUCCGCCUGCCCGGCUCCUUGUGUGAAACAGCCUGAAAGAACAGGGUCUGCAUUGGAUUACAGAAAUAAAGCCACGUGCAUCAGCACUGCCAGUCUUACUGCAUUGCACACAGCGUGAGCUGCUCCCUGCUGGGCAGAUGGACACGGAGACUCAGGG
ensembl:lncRNA